rnacentral:rRNA from 1 species
UACGAAGGGGGCUAGCGUUGCUCGGAAUCACUGGGCGUAAAGGGUGCGUAGGCGGGUCUUUAAGUCAGGGGUGAAAUCCUGGAGCUCAACUCCAGAACUGCCUUUGAUACUGAAGAUCUUGAGUUCGGGAGAGGUGAGUGGAACUGCGAAGUGUAGAGGUGAAAUUCGUAGAUAUUCGCAAGAACACCAGUGGCGAAGGCGGCUCACUGGCCCGAUACUGACGCUGAGGCACGAAAGCGUGGGGAGCAAACAGGG